UACGUAGGGUGCGAGCGUUGUCCGGAAUUAUUGGGCGUAAAGGGCGCGUAGGCGGCCACCGCAAGUCGACUGUGAAAUCUUCGGGCUUAACCCGGAAAGGUCAGCCGAUACUGCGGGGCUAGAGUGCAGAAGGGGCAACUGGAAUUCUCGGUGUAGCGGUGAAAUGCGUAGAUAUCGAGAGGAACACCUGCGGCGAAGGCGGGUUGCUGGGCUGACACUGACGCUGAGGCGCGAAAGCUAGGGGAGCAAACAGG
rnacentral:rRNA from 1 species